rnacentral:rRNA from 1 species
GACGAACGCUGGCGGCGUGCUUAACACAUGCAAGUCGAACGGAAAGGCCCUGCUUUUGUGGGGUGCUCGAGUGGCGAACGGGUGAGUAACACGUGAGUAACCUGCCCUUGACUUUGGGAUAACUUCAGGAAACUGGGGCUAAUACCGGAUAGGAGCUCCUGCUGCAUGGUGGGGGUUGGAAAGUUUCGGCGGUUGGGGAUGGACUCGCGGCUUAUCAGCUUGUUGGUGGGGUAGUGGCUUACCAAGGCUUUGACGGGUAGCCGGCCUGAGAGGGUGGCCGGCCACAUUGGGACUGAGAGACGGCCCAGACUCCUACGGGAGGCAGCAGUGGGGAAUAUUGCACAAUGGGCGGAAGCCUGAUGCAGCAACGCCGCGGGCGGGAUGACGGCCUUCGGGGUGUAAACCGCUUUCGCCUGUGACGAAGCGUGAGUGACGGUAAUGGGUAAAGAAGCACCGGCUAACUACGUG